AUGGCGUCCCCUCGCCGCAUGGCCACCGCGCCUGCCGUCCUCCUCGUCCUGCUCCUCCUCGUCGCCACGGAGAUGGGGACGGUGAAGGUGGCGGAGGCCCGGACGUGCGAGUCGCAGAGCCACAAUUUCAAGGGCGCCUGCUUCAGCGACACCAACUGCGCCAGCGUGUGCCACACCGAGAACUUCCCCCGCGGGCAGUGCCACCAGCACCACGUCGAGCGCAAGUGCUACUGCGAGCGGGACUGCUGA
rnacentral:rRNA from 1 species